rnacentral:rRNA from 1 species
AAAGCGAGCGGCGGAUGGGUGAGUAACACGUGGGGAACCUGCCCCAUAGUCUGGGAUACCACUUGGAAACAGGUGCUAAUACCGGAUAAGAAAGCAGAUCGCAUGAUCAGCUUUUAAAAGGCGGCGUAAGCUGUCGCUAUGGGAUGGCCCCGCGGUGCAUUAGCUAGUUGGUAAGGUAAAGGCUUACCAAGGCGAUGAUGCAUAGCCGAGUUGAGAGACUGAUCGGCCACAUUGGGACUGAGACACGGCCCAAACUCCUACGGGAGGCAGCAGUAGGGAAUCUUCCACAAUGGACGCAAGUCUGAUGGAGCAACGCCGCGUGAGUGAAGAAGGUUUUCGGAUCGUAAAGCUCUGUUGUUGGUGAAGAAGGAUAGAGGUAGUAACUGGCCUUUAUUUGACGGUAAUCAACCAGAAAGUCACGGCUAACUACGUGCCAGCAGCCGCGGUAAUACGUAGGUGGCAAGCGUUGUCCGGAUUUAUUGGGCGUAAAGCGAGCGCAGGCGGAAGAAUAAGUCUGAUGUGAAAGCCCUCGGCUUAACCGAGGAACUGCAUCGGAAACUGUUUUUCUUGAGUGCAGAAGAGGAGAGUGGAACUCCAUGUGUAGCGGUGGAAUGCGUAGAUAUAUGGAAGAACACCAGUGGCGAAGGCGGCUCUCUGGUCUGCAACUGACGCUGAGGCUCGAAAGCAUGGGUAGCGAACAGGAUUAGAUACCCUGGUAGUCCAUGCCGUAAACGAUGAGUGCUAAGUGUU